rnacentral:snRNA from 1 species
UUUAAACCAAGAGGCCAAGCC